rnacentral:pre_miRNA from 1 species
GUUCUACUCCCUCUGUUCGGAAUUACUUGUCUCGGAUAUGGAUAUAUCUAGAACUAAAAUACAUCUAGAUACAUCCAUUUCUGUGACAAGUAAUUCCGAACGGAGGGAGUACUAG